rnacentral:rRNA from 1 species
GACGAACGCUGGCGGCGUGCCUAAUACAUGCAAGUAGAACGCUGAAGAGAGGAGCUUGCUCUUCUUGGAUGAGUUGCGAACGGGUGAGUAACGCGUAGGUAACCUGCCUUGUAGCGGGGGAUAACUAUUGGAAACGAUAGCUAAUACCGCAUAACAAUGGAUGACACAUGUCAUUUAUUUGAAAGGGGCAAUUGCUCCACUACAAGAUGGACCUGCGUUGUAUUAGCUAGUAGGUGAGGUAACGGCUCACCUAGGCGACGAUACAUAGCCGACCUGAGAGGGUGAUCGGCCACACUGGGACUGAGACACGGCCCAGACUCCUACGGGAGGCAGCAGUAGGGAAUCUUCGGCAAUGGGGGCAACCCUGACCGAGCAACGCCGCGUGAGUGAAGAAGGGUUUCGGAUCGUAAAGCUCUGUUGUAAGUCAAGAACGAGCGUGAGAGUGGAAAGUUCACACUGUGACGGUAGCUUACCAGAAAGGGACGGCUAACUACGUG